rnacentral:rRNA from 1 species
GACGAACGCUGGCGGCGUGCUUAACACAUGCAAGUCGAACGGAAAGGCCCUGCUUUUGUGGGGUGCUCGAGUGGCGAACGGGUGAGUAACACAUGAGUAACCUGCCCUUGACUUUGGGAUAACUUCAGGAAACUGGGGCUAAUACCGGAUAGGAGCUCCUGCUGCAUGUGGGGGGUUGGAAAGUUUCGGCGGUGGGGGAUGGACUCGCGGCUUAUCAGCUUGUUGGUGGGGUAGUGGCUUACCAAGGCUUUGACGGGUAGCCGGCCUGAGAGGGUGACCGGCCACAUUGGGCCUGCGAUACGGCCCAGACUCCUACGGGAGGCAGCAGUGGGGAAUCUUGCGCAAUGGGCGGAAGCCUGAUGCAGCGACGCCGCGUGCGGGAUACCGGCCUUCGGGUUGUAAACCGCUUUCGCCUGUGACGAAGCGUGAGUGACGGUAAUGGGUAAAGAAGCACCGGCUAACUACGUG